rnacentral:rRNA from 1 species
CCUACGGGAGGCAGCAGUGGGGAAUAUUGCACAAUGGGGGAAACCCUGAUGCAGCGACGCCGCGUGAGUGAAGAAGUAAUUCGUUAUGUAAAGCCCUAUCAGCAGGGAAGAAAAUGACGGUACCUGUGUCAGAAGCCCCGGCUAACUACGUGCCAACAGCCGCUGUAAUACGGAGGGGGCAAGCGUUAUCCGGAUUUACUGGGGGUAAAGGGAGCGUAGACGGCAGGGCAAGUCUGGAGGGAAAGGCGGGGGCUCAACCCCCGGACUGCUCUGGAAACUGUACGGCUGGAGUGCAGGAGAGGUAAGUGGAAUUCCUGGUGUUGCGGUGAAAUGCGUAGAUAUUAGGAGGAACACCAGUGGCGAAGGCGGCGUACUGGACUGUAACUGACGUUGAGGCUCGAAAGCGUGGGGAGCAAACAGGAUUAGAUACCCUUGUAGUC